rnacentral:tRNA from 1 species
AGAGCGAUAGGCUUUUAACCUAUUGGUCAUGGGUUCGACUCCCAUUCA